ensembl:lncRNA
GGGCCGACCCAUGGCACCCAGUGACCACUCCUUUACACCGUUCCCCUCCCCUCUCUCUCUAGCGUGCUUACCAGGAGCCCUACCCAGCUCUCUUCCCGACCAUUCUGUGAAGCCCGGAAUAACACACACGCAGAAAAAGUGUAAGGCAGGCAGAGGAGAACACAGGAGGGGCGAGGAGAGUGGGGAAAACGCCCUGGAAACUCGGCUGGUACUAACAGAGUUCAAGUAUUUUAAACACCAAGUUGAGACUGUAAAGAAGUGAUUUUCACGGGCUGAGCCAGAAGGGGGGAGAGGACGACCUCCGAGGAUGCUCCGGCUGGUUUGAGACUGCUUGGCGCACGGUCUGCGCAAAGACUCUAGGAAGACGGGUGCUGAAGAUCUAGAACCAGGGAGAACGUUGGACCUGCUUGAGCAAUCCAAAAACAACAAAAGCAUUUCCAUCACACCAGGCCACAAAAACAGAGGGUAUGUGCUAAGGUCUUAUGAUUGUUUCUUGAUAUAUAUGUACUUUGAUUGUGUAUAAUUGGGGGUCAAGCAGCGAAGCUGCGAGACAACCAUUGUUGUUGUUGUUGUUGUUGUUGUUUCCUAUUAUUAUUCUGUCAUGGGAGUCUAUGGCAGCCCAUAGAAAAACCAUGGACAAAAGUUUUGAAAUAUGGCACACUGAUUCAGUACACUUCCAUGAUCCCUCACAGCCAAUUUGUGGUCACUAGCUCAUGCAAUCUAGCGCCACCAACAGGUCAAAGUUGGUCAUGCAUUCAGGUUUAUAAUUUUUGACCCAAUCAUCCAAUAUUCACCUUUGGCCAUGCCGAGUUCAACGCACCCCCUAUGUUGUCAUUUUGCGCCAUGAUGGAUUUUCCGCCAUCUUCAUUUUUAUCAAAAACCUUCAAAAUACAUCACCUAUCACAGAAUAUGAUCUUCAGACCAUGCCUGACAAAACUUAUUGAAUAGAGUUUUCAAAUUCAAAACGUUUGGCAGCGACAGCCAAUCAAAUUCGACCGCGAAGCCGCCAAACACCAAGUAAGCCAAUUUCUCAGCAGCCCUUUGACAUAUCAUAACCAAACUUGGUACGUAGACCCAUUACAUCAUCUUGGGAACACUCAUCACCUCUAGGGGGCGCUGUAAUUUAUGAAGAUGUGUUUUAACUCCUCGCUCUUCACAUGAGUAUAUUUCAACCAAAUUUUCAAUUUCUGGUGAUACUAUCAGACCUCCCCAUACAGCUAGUAAAUUAUUUAUCACGGAAACAUCUGUGAAAGCCACUCAAAUUCGACAAAGGAAGUAAGCCUAUUCUAAGCAGCCCUUUAACAUAUCAUAACCAAACUUGGUAAAUACACCCAUGGCAUCAUCAUGGGGACACCCAAAUAAUUUGGUAACCUUUGACCUAUAGGGGGCACCGUAAUUAAUGAAGAUGUGUUUUAACUCCUCUCUCUUCACAUGAGUCUCAGCAGCCCUUUGACAUAUCAUAACCAAACUUGGUAAAUAGACCCAUGACAUCAUCAUUGGGACGCUCAAUGAAUUUAGGGACUUUCGACCUCUAGGGGGCGCUGUAAUUCAUGAAGUUGUGUUUUAACUCCUCUCUCUUCACAUGAGUAUAUUUCAUCUUAUUUUCAAAGUCCGGUGAUACUGUUAGACCUCUUUAUAGCUAAUAUAUUAUUUCUCAUGAAAACAUCAGAAUUGGGCUGCCAUGUUGAAUGUUGUCAAAAUCAAUAGUACAUAUCCACAGGCCACAAUCAAACUUGACGGCAAAGCCGCUUAACAGUAGGUAAGCCUGUUCUCAGCAACUCCGGGGACACCCAAACAAUUUGAUGACCUUUGACUUCAGGGGGACGUCAAACAGGAAGUGAGCUCAUAUCUCUGCAAGGCUUCCAUGUAUCCAAACCAAACUUGGCUCAUAGUCUUAUGCCCCUAUCCUGACGAUGCCCAAAUAACAGAUUUGGUGACAUUUGACAUCUAUGGGGACAUUGUUAGCAGCAAGUCUAUUCCAGCCCUUAGAAAGCAACUUAAAUGUAUUUUCAUUAUGAUAACCAUUUGCCAAUACCUUUCAUUGUAAGUGAAAUUACUUAGAAGGUCAUCAUUUAGCCACCUAACCAAUUAUGUCUGUCCACCAAAAUUUGUUUAUGGAGUCCUAUUCUGCUUGGCCCCCACAUUGCUGCUCGCAGCUUUAUUUAAU